UACGUAGGGGGCAAGCGUUGUCCGGAUUUAUUGGGCGUAAAGAGCGUGUAGGCGGUCAGGUAGGUCCGUUGUGAAAACUCAAGGCUCAACCUCGAGACGCCGAUGGAAACCAUCUGACUAGAGUCCGGAAGAGGAGAGUGGAAUUCCUGGUGUAGCGGUGAAAUGCGCAGAUAUCAGGAAGAACACCCGUGGCUAAGGCGGCUCUCUAGUACGGUACUGACGCUGAGACGCGAAAGCGUGGGGAGCGAACAGG
rnacentral:rRNA from 1 species